GAUGAACGCUGACAGAAUGCUUAACACAUGCAAGUCAACUUGAACUUCGGUUUGGGUGGCGGACGGGUGAGUAACGCGUAAAGAACUUGCCUCACAGAUAGGGACAACAUUUGGAAACGAAUGCUAAUACCUGAUAUUAUGAUUAUAUGGCAUCGUAUAAUUAUGAAAGCUAUAUGCGCUGUGAGAGAGCUUUGCGUCCCAUUAGCUAGUUGGAGAGGUAACGGCUCACCAAGGCGAUGAUGGGUAGCCGGCCUGAGAGGGUGAUCGGCCACAAGGGGACUGAGACACGGCCCUUACUCCUACGGGAGGAAGCAGUGGGGAAUAUUGGACAAUGGACCAAGAGUCUGAUCCAGCAAUUCUGUGUGCACGAUGAAGUUUUUCGGAAUGUAAAGUGCUUUCAGUUGGGAAGAAAAAAAUGACGGUACCAACAGAAGAAGUGACGGCUAAAUACGUG
rnacentral:rRNA from 1 species